rnacentral:rRNA from 1 species
UACGUAGGGUGCAAGCGUUAAUCGGAAUUACUGGGCGUAAAGCGUGCGCAGGCGGUGAUGUAAGACAGUUGUGAAAUCCCCGGGCUCAACCUGGGAACUGCAUCUGUGACUGCAUCGCUGGAGUACGGCAGAGGGGGAUGGAAUUCCGCGUGUAGCAGUGAAAUGCGUAGAUAUGCGGAGGAACACCGAUGGCGAAGGCAAUCCCCUGGGCCUGUACUGACGCUCAUGGACGAAAGCGUGGGGAGCAAACGGG